UACGGAGGGUGCGAGCGUUGUCCGGAAUCACUGGGCGUAAAGGGCGCGUAGGCGGCUGUGGAAGUCGGCGGUGAAAGCCCGGAGCUCAACUCCGGGUCGGCCGUCGAGACUCCUCGGCUCGAGCUCACUAGAGGCAGAUGGAAUUCCGGGUGUAGCGGUGGAAUGCGUAGAGAUCCGGAAGAACACCGGUGGCGAAGGCGGUCUGCUGGGGUGAGGCUGACGCUGAGGCGCGACAGCGUGGGGAGCAAACAGG
rnacentral:rRNA from 1 species